rnacentral:lncRNA from 1 species
CCUUGAGUUCCAUCAUUUCGGAGACCCAUGUGGUUGAAAGGUGGAGCUGACGCCCACAGAUUGUAGAAUGAAUAAAAACUGUAAAGACAGAUUUUCCUCCACACUCAAUGCCUAACUAGAAUGAGUAGAAAACUAGACAGUGAUGUUUUCAAAUAGCGUGCAUGGGAGAGGGAAGCCACCUCAGCUGCCAUCAAACUGAGGGAGCCGCUGCUCCCGCUGGCCUGCAGGACCGUGCUUGGCUUGGUGACAGGAACAUUGCCCAUCCUCUUCCCCUCCUGCUCACAGACCCAUCACACGCACCCAGGGCGUCUCAGGAUGGAGCUCUGAUCGCCACCUGGCCCAAGAGGCAGGCUAUGUGCUGACUCAUGCGCUUCCCGUCCACCGGCUUCUCACAACCAGCCUAGAAGCCUCUGUCACGAGCCCCCAAGUAAGCGGCUUGGCAAAUCCAGCCGGAUUCCAGAAUCACAUUCUCUGGGCCCCCUCUCUUCUCGCCCCCAAGUCAGUCUCCCUCUUGUUUGAAAAGAAUUGAGGUUUUCAAGUAAAAUCUCUUCUUGUAAAUUUCCUGGCUUUCUCUGGGUCCGUUGAAUACAUUUCAUUCUUUAUGAAAAAAAAAAAAAAACAAAAAACAAAAAAAAAAC